rnacentral:rRNA from 1 species
GAUUAAUGCUGGCGAGAUGCAUAACACAUGCAAGUCGAGCGAUAAAUUAACUUCGGUUAAUGGACAGCGGCGGACGGCUGAGUAACACGUUGGAACGUGCCUUUCAUUCAGGGAUAGCCCAAAGAAAUUUGGAGUAAUACCGGAUACCCCAGCAAUGGGAAAGCGUUUAGCGAUGAAAGAGCGGCCUGCGGCCCAUUAGUUUGUUGGUGAGGUAAUGGCUUACCAAGACUACGAUGGGUACCUGGUGUGAGAGCAUGACCAGGCAGAGUGGGACUGAGACACGGCCCACACUCCUACGGGAGGCAGCAGUGAGGAAUUUUCCGCAAUGGGCGAAAGCCUGACGGAGCAAUCUCGCGUGGAGGAUGACACCUUUCGGGGCGUAAACUCCUUUUAUGAGGGAAGAAAAUCUGACGGUACCUCAUGAAUAAGGGACGGCUAACUACG